rnacentral:rRNA from 1 species
ACGACUGCUAAUACCGCAUAACGUAUCGGGAUGGCAUCUUCCUGAUACCAAAGAUUUUAUCGCUUAGAGAUGGGCUCGCGUCUGAUUAGAUAGUUGGCGGGGUAACGGCCCACCAAGUCGACGAUCAGUAGCCGGACUGAGAGGUUGAACGGCCACAUUGGGACUGAGACACGGCCCAGACUCCUACGGGAGGCAGCAGUGGGGGAUAUUGGACAAUGGGGGCAACCCUGAUCCAGCGACGCCGCGUGAGGGAAGAAGGUUUUCGGAUUGUAAACCUCUGUUGACGGAGAAAAAAAUGAUGGUAUCCGUUUAGAAAGCCACGGCUAACUACGUGCCAGCAGCCGCGGUAAUACGUAGGUGGCAAGCGUUGUCCGGAAUUACUGGGUGUAAAGGGAGUGUAGGCGGGAUAUCAAGUCAGAAGUGAAAAUU